rnacentral:rRNA from 1 species
AACGAACGCUGGCGGCAGGCCUAACAUAUGCAAGUCGAACGAGCCUUUCGGGUUUAGUGGCGAACGGGUGAGUAACGCGUGGGAACGUGCCUUUAGGUUCGGAAUAACUCCGGGAAACUUGUGCUAAUACCGGAUGUUGCCUUCGGCGGAAAGAUUUAUCGCCUUUGGAUGGGCCCGCGUUGGAUUAGCUAGUUGGUUGGGUAAAGGCCUACCAAGGCGACGAUCCAUAGCUGGUCUGAGAGGAUGAUCAGCCACAUUGGGACUGAGACACGGCCCAAACUCCUACGGGAGGCAGCAGUGGGGAAUAUUGCGCAAUGGGCGAAAGCCUGAUGCAGCCAUGCCGCGUGAAUGAUGAAGGUCUUAGGAUUGUAAAAUUCUUUUACCGGGGAUGAUAAUGACGGUACCCGGAGAAGAAGCCCCGGCUAACUCCGUG